rnacentral:tRNA from 1 species
GCCCUGUUCGCCAAGCGGCUAAGGCACCGUCUUUACACGUCGGCACUCGGGGGUUCGAGUCCCUCACAGGGUACCA